rnacentral:rRNA from 1 species
AGAGUUUGAUCCUGGCUCAGGACGAACGCUGGCGGCGUGCUUAACACAUGCAAGUCGAGCGGAAAGGCCCUUCGGGGUACUCGAGCGGCGAACGGGUGAGUAACACGUGAGCAACCUGCCCUUAGCUUCGGGAUAGCUCCGGGAAAUCGGAAUUAAUACCGGAUAUGACCACGGCCGACAUCGGCCAUGGUGGAAAGUUUUUCGGCUAGGGAUGGACUCGCGGCCUAUCAGCUAGUUGGUGAGGUAACGGCCCACCAAGGCGACGACGGGUAGCCGGCCUGAGAGGGCGACCGGCCACACUGGGACUGAGACACGGCCCAGACUCCUACGGGAGGCAGCAGUGGGGAAUAUUGCGCAAUGGGCGAAAGCCUGACGCAGCGACGCCGCGUGGGGGAUGAAGGCCUUCGGGUUGUAAACCCCUUUCAGCAGGGACGAAGCGAGAGUGACGGUACCUGCAGAAGAAGCGCCGGCUAACUACGUG